GCGGCCGGGCCAGCCGGGUCGGGGCCACGUUUCUCGGCGCGAGUGUGGUUAGCGCUCCCGGCGGCGAGCCCCUCGGGGACGACGCACGUGUGUGGGAGCCCCGAUCACCCGGCGGCGGCCAGCUGACGCCACUUGUCGCGGCUCGGACACCGAGCACGCCAGUGGGAGCCGCGACGAGCCGGGACCGCAAACCCUCCGAUCGCGUGCACAAGAGCAUUUACCAUGUUGGGAACAAAGUGAAAUCUCGAGAUCCUGCCCCAGGCUGCUUCGUUGGCGCGAACACUAAAGUUUUUCUUUCUCAAAAGAAAACACGUGAUUCAUAGAGGAAAGUUUAUUCCUCCUUAUUCUCAACAAAGGGGCUAAAGCCACACAGCCCUGGACUAGUGAAGACGGUGACAGAUCUUCAAGUUCAGUCAUUCCGGACUCUUCUUCUUUUGGAUCCUUUCAGCCAGGGGAAGAUCAGGCCUCUGAGAGAAUGUCACUUACAGCUAUGGUGACUAUGUAAUUUAUCAUCCAAACUAGGAUACUUUUUGAGAGACAAGGGGCAUCUGUGAGAAUUCCCACCAGGACAGAAAAAGAUUUGGUCGCUACCACCCCCAGCUAACUGAUAACAUCAAAUGGAGCCUUAACUUCCUGACUCAGAGCCUUGGAAUGUAGUUCUGAAUCAUCACUUCUCUGUGUUGCUGCCUGAUUAUUGCAAUAGGAGGAAAAAUGGCACGUGCAUAAGAAAAGACCUUACCUGUGAUUCCUGAGUGGAUACUUGAAAGUGUUAAUCGCUCAGUUGUAUCUGAUUCUUUGUGAUCCCAUGGACUGCAACCUGCCAGGCUCCUCUGUCGCUGGAAAAUUCCAAGCAAUAUUUCUGGAAUGGGUAGCCAUUCCCUUCACCAGGGGAUCUUCCUGACCCCAGGAUUGAACCUGGCUCUCCUGUAUUGCAGGCAGAUUCUUUACCACCUGAACUACCAGAGAAGCCUGAGUGGAUAUUUAGGAUUGUUAACAAUUUUUCACUACCUCCAACAACAUUGCAAUAAAUGUCCUAUGUGUCUCAAGACUCCAAAUUCCUACAAGAGGAAAUUGUGGAUCCAAGGCUACGCCCACAUUGCCUCUCAAGUGGCUCCACCGUCUUGAAGUAUGAAAACAGAAUCCAGAAGUUCCCACUUCUCAGCAGUCUCAAUAAUGCUUCACCUACCAGACAUUUCAAAAUGCUCAGUAUAUUAGGCACCUUCUUAAAGAGAUGGAGCAAAGAUAAACCUCUGAUGAUGGAGCCGUAAUUACAGUCUGAGUGUCCUGGUCUGGUACUGAAGACGGGGCUGGAUUGGCAGUGGAAAGUUUGGAUGACACUCCAACACCUGGAGUAGGUUGCCCGGAGAGCAACCACUGUGGGAGCUGCGUGUAUGCCUACCCUGACGCCCUGAAGGAAAGGCAGCCUCCAAGUUGCUUCAGCUCCUCUUCUCCUAACCUGGAAGUGCCUCACUCCCUUCCCUCCUCCACACUCAAGCACUCUUUCUUGUUUCUGAGAGAAAGGCUUAGAAGUGACUCAUUUUGUAGCCUCUCUGCUCUCUGGGCACCUUGAGGUCCCCUGGAAAUGAAAGGAUUGAAAGCAACCAGCUUACUUUUCCUUGAGUGCCCAAACACUAAGGGGAAAUGCACACUGGGGGGACACUCUCUCCGGCUUUGUCAGAUACGAAAGGACGGAGCAGUAAAUGCACCCCUUCUCCCCUCGCUGGGCCCCCACUGGGCUCAUUCUUGAGUGUUUGUCCUAUUCUUAGCAACAAAGCCAGUUUCUCCAAGGGUCAAAUCUUGUGGUUUUAUUUUCUGGCUUUGCUCCACUCUUUUCUGGGACGGCCCUAAUCCCUGGGCCUCAGCAUCCCCACCUUGUAAUUAAAUGGGUUACACUCAGGUGAUCAUAGAUGGGGAAGAUUGUGUACUUGCAGCCU